GGCAGCAGCAAGAAUGAAAGUAGACACAUUGGAAGCCAGAGAGUCACUGGGUGACUCCUGGAGGUAGCAACAAGCUCAUGAAGAAGGCAUUCAGUGGCUUGCACUCCCCACCCAUCCUCUCAGGUGUUGAAAAGUCUCCUCUAGAGCUUUGGAAGGCUGAAUGCACUAAACAUGAAGAGCUUGAAAGCGAAGUUCAGGAAGAGUGACGUAAAUUAAAUAAAACUCAUAGAGUGCAAAGAGACUUCGACAAAGACAGAAAACUAGCUGUUGGCCAGAGUGAAAGUCCUGGUCAUCUGACUUCCGAGAAACCUCCUUCAACCUCAUCGUCUGCUGGCUGUAUGCUACAUAUCUCCCAUGGCUUUCAGCUAAGGAGAAAAAAGCAAUUAAAUGGAAAAUGUUGCCCAAUUCAGCAGA
rnacentral:sRNA from 1 species